GACGAACUGUGCAAACGUUGCUCGGAAUCAUUGGGCGUAAAGCGCACGUAGGCGGUUCGGUAAGUCGGAUGUGAAAGCCCUCGGCUCAACCGAGGAAGUGCAUUCGAAACUGCCAGACUUGAAUAUGGAAGAGGGUCGCGGAAUUCCCGGUGUAGAGGUGAAAUUCGUAGAUAUCGGGAGGAACACCAGUGGCGAAGGCGGCGACCUGGGCCAAUAUUGACGCUGAGGUGCGAAAGCGUGGGGAGCAAACAGG
rnacentral:rRNA from 1 species